AUCUCCGGCCAUACUACCCUGAAUGUGCCCGAUCUUGUCUGAUCUCAGAAGCUAAGCAGGGUCAGGUCUGGUUAGUACUUGGAUGGGAGAUAUAGUCCUAUCCUAGGGGCAUGUGUGAAAGGUUCUGGUGAUA
ensembl:rRNA 5S_rRNA 5S ribosomal RNA